AUAUUUGUUAUAAUUAUUAAUUUUUUGAUUUUAUUUUUAAUAGUUUUUAUAAGAGUUGCUUUUUUUACUUUAUUAGAGCGUAAAGUUUUAGGUUAUAUUCAAUUACGUAAAGGUCCGAAUAAGUUUUUGAUUAAAGGUAUUUUUUCAACCUAUAGGUGAUGGGUUAAAAUUAUUUUUUAAAGAAGUUAAUUAUCCGAGUAAUAUAAAUUUUUUUAUUUUUAUAAUUUCUCCUUUAUUGGGUUUAUUAAUUUCAAUUUUUUUUUGAUUUAUUUAUCCUUAUAUUGGUAUGAACUAUAUUAUAGGAUUUGGUUUAAUUUAUAUAUUUUGUUGUUCAAGUUUAAUAGUUUAUAUUUUUUUAAUAAUUAGAUGAUCUUCGAAUUCUAAUUAUUCAGUUUUAGGUAUAAUUCGGUUUAUUUCUCAAAUGAUUUCAUAUGAAGUUAGAAUAAUAAUUAUUAUUAUAAAUUUAAUAUUUUUAAUUAAUAGUUUUAAUUUAAAUGAUUUUUAUAUCUAUCAAAUUAAUUUAAAAUUUUUUUUUUUUUCUUUUUUUUUUGUUUAUUUUAUUAUUAAUUAGAUUUUUAGCUGAAAUAAAUCGUUCUCCUUUUGAUUUUUCUGAGGGUGAAUCAGAAUUAGUUUCUGGAUUUAAUAUUGAAUUUAGAAGUUUAUCUUUUAUUUUUAUUUUUAUAUCUGAAUAUAUAAGAAUUAUAUUUAUAGGGAUACUAUUAUGUGAAAUGUUUUUUGGUUUGAUAAUAAAUAAAUUUUAUUUAAAUAUUUUUAUUUUGAUUUUUAUAUUUAUAGUUAUUUGAUUACGUGGGUUUUUACCACGAUUUCGUUAUGAUAAAUUAAUAUAUUUAGUUUGGAAAUUAAUUUUACCUUUGUCUUUAUUUUUAUUUGUCUUUAAUUUUUCUAUUAAAUUAUUUAACUUAUAUCAUUAAUUUAAGUAUUAAGUUAAUAGAAUUAAAUUCUAUUUUUUAUUUUCAAAAUAAAUAUUUUAAAUAAAUUAAUUAACUAAAUUAAUAAUUUAUCUCAUAACUUUAUGAUAUAAAAGUUAAUGAAAAAGUAAGAAAAAUAAAUUGUUGUAAAAAUUUGCCCUGUUGUAAUAAAUGGGUAUUCAACUGGUUGUAUCCCAAUUCAGGUUAAAAUAAAAAAUGUUAUAAUAAAUAUUCAGAAUAAAAAUUUAUUUAAUGGGUAAAAUUUAUUUCUUAAAAAAUUUUUAUUGUUUAAUAUAGGUAAGAUUAAUAAAAUUAAAAUUGAAAGUAUUAAAGCAAUAACCCCUCCUAAUUUAUUAGGGAUUGCUCGUAAAAUUGAAUAAGAAAAUAAAAAAUAUCAUUCUGGUUGAAUGUGAUUUGGUGUAAUUAUUGAAUUUGCUAUAAUAAAAUUAUUGUGAUCAUUUAGUAGGUAUGGAAAAAUUAAAGCUAAAAUAAAAAAUAUUCAUAUAAAUAUGAUUAAUCCAAUUAAAUCUUUAAUUAGAAAAUAUGGAGAAAAAGUAAUUUUAUCAAAAUUUCUAUUAAUUCCUAGUGGAUUAUUAGAACCUGUUAAAUGAAGAAAGAAUAAGUGAAUAAAAGUAAAUAAAAUAAUAAUAAAUGGUAAAAUAAAAUGGAUUGAGAAAAA